GACGUAGGAGGCGAGCGUUGUCCGGAUUCAUUGGGCGUAAAGAGCACGCAGGCGGUUUGGCAAGUCAGAUGUGAAAAUCCGAGGCUCAACCUCGGACCUGCAUCUGAAACUGCCCGACUAGAGGUAGGUAGGGGAGAUCGGAAUUCCUGGUGUAGCGGUGAAAUGCGCAGAUAUCAGGAGGAACACCGGUGGCGAAGGCGGAUCUCUGGGCCUUACCUGACACUCAAGUGCGAAAGCGUGGGGAGCAAACAGG
rnacentral:rRNA from 1 species